rnacentral:tRNA from 1 species
UGACUCGUAGCUCAGCUGGCAGAGCAAGGCGCUUUUAACGUCGAGGUCAUGAGUUCGAAUCCCAUCGGGUCAA